CAGAAAGGCAACAUAGGAAAUCAUUAGCACCCAUCAAGCAUGCAGGAACAAGAUGAUGGAAUCACCUGGAACAUAGGCCUGGGAAGAUAAUAAGUAUAGGACAAAAAGGGUCAUAGCAUGGUUCAAAGAUACCUAGUUCAUGGGCAAAUAAAAGCAAGGAGAGGUGGCAUAGUAUAAUGGAAAAUCAUCUCACCUGUAAAAUGAGGGUACAAAUAUUUACUUUGCAAGAAAAUAUUAAUGCCUGGUAUAUAGCAUAUAUUCAUAUAUUCAUAUUCAAGGACCAGGAAAAAAAGCAUAUAUAUAGUACCAACGGGCUUCCCAGGUGGCCCACUGGUAAGAAAUCCAACUGCCAAUGCAGGAGGUGCAGAUUUGAUCCCUGGGGUGGGAAGACCCCCUAGAAGAGGAAAUGGCAACCCAUUGCACUAUUCUUACCUGAGAAAUCCCCUGGACAGAGGAGCCUGGCAGGCUACAGUCCAUGAGGGGCAAAAGAGUUGGACAUGACUUAGAAACUAAACAACAUACUACCAAUAGCAAACAAUAGUGCUUGAAAAUCAUGAGGCACAGUGGAAAGAGAGAGAAUGCUUUGCAUUCAGGGAGACCUCGGCUUGAACCAUUUACUGUGUAACUUGAAGCAUGUUAUCUCCCCUCUCUGCUCCUCGGUUUCCUCAUGUACAAAGUAGAGAUGCAAAUAUCAAUGUUGCAAUAUUUAGAAAUAAUGUGUAAAGUGUAAUUGUCAUCUGACAUCUUGAUAACUAAUAGCUAUUAUUUUUAUUAAUAUAAUUAUUAAAUUUGCCUCAAAACUAGCCUCAGGCAAAGUGUCACAGUGUGGAAGACUAGUCUGUAAACUCUCCAGCCCUAUUUUCUGAAAGCACAGAAAACAGCACUUUUGCUGAUACCCAUUUGUCUUUCAUAGAUAGCAGGACUAACAAAUGACCAGGAAGCUCCAUCCAGAGUUACAAGGCAUUCAAAUGAAUUACAAGAAAGAAUUGUCACCAGACACAUUAACAACAAAAUAGAACAUUCGGCUGUAAGGUUUUUCCGCAGCCUUCCUGGCAAAUAUUAGCAGAAUAUCAACACUCCAACAUACUCCAAGUUACUAUUAAUAGCUACCUGAGUCACCUUCACUUCCUUUUUUUUGGCUUUUGUUUUUUUAAGAAAAAGACUCAAAUCUGUUCCUCAUUUAAGGCACUAAGAAAAUGAAAUCUCUCUCACACACACAUACACAAGACAUAGUUUAUCUUCUUUCCAUCAAGGCAAAGUCAAAUGCUCUUAGCUCAAUUUCCCAAUAAAUCAAAGAAAUCAACAACAAGGAAAAGCACACUGAAUAUUAGCUCUCAAAGGUUCAUGAGAAAAAGAAACCGACAUAGAAAGUCCCGUGUCACUCACUCACCAAGGUGAUCCAUAGGUAUCAAAUUUUUCUGAACCAAAAGUCAGGACACAUAGGAUGAGAAUUAUGAGCACACUUAUGAGGGCAAUGGUAAAAUAUUAAUAUCUAAAAUCACUGCUAUCCAUUCACUUUUCUACCCAGACCUUAGACAAGUCAAAAGUCCUAGACUUAGAACAUUUUAACUGAUUAUCUCUGGCUACUGAUUCUGUACACUACAUAAUCACUUGGGCUAAGGGGAACUAAACAGAAUGUAAUUUCUACAAACAGAAAAGAAAAUGAGCCAAGAGAGAUUCUAGAAGGGAGAACUCUAGUUAGAAUAACCUAUCAGAAGAGGACAGAAAACAGUCCUCAAGACCAAAAAGAAUGCCUGGACAUUCUCAUUAGAGGGAAAGGUGGUAGGUAAAGAAAAUUUUACUAAGAUGAAACCAAAUAUACAAAGAUCACAAGUAUGAAAGGUGGCCUCACAGCCUGAU
rnacentral:lncRNA from 1 species